GUUCAACUGCACAGAGGUUGGACAAAAAAUCAUUAGCGUGGGAUCACUGAAGCACAACAAGGUGUGCAAGACCCAGAUGACUUAAAGCUAUCCAUAUGAGUGUGGUACCAUAUAGACAAGGUCAACAACCAAGCUGCAGGGAUCAACUCA